UAGUGCUUGCACUAAAUGAAACUAGAUACAAGCGAGCGGCGGACGGGUGAGUAACACGUGGGUAACCUGCCCAAGAGACUGGGAUAACACCUGGAAACAGAUGCUAAUACCGGAUAACAACACUAGACGCAUGUCUAGAGUUUGAAAGAUGGUUCUGCUAUCACUCUUGGAUGGACCUGCGGUGCAUUAGCUAGUUGGUAAGGUAACGGCUUACCAAGGCAAUGAUGCAUAGCCGAGUUGAGAGACUGAUCGGCCACAUUGGGACUGAGACACGGCCCAAACUCCUACGGGAGGCAGCAGUAGGGAAUCUUCCACAAUGGACGAAAGUCUGAUGGAGCAACGCCGCGUGAGUGAAGAAGGGUUUCGGCUCGUAAAGCUCUGUUGGUAGUGAAGAAAGAUAGAGGUAGUAACUGGCCUUUAUUUGACGGUAAUUACUUAGAAAGUCACGGCUAACUACGUGCCAGCAGCCGCGGUAAUACGUAGGUGGCAAGCGUUGUCCGGAUUUAUUGGGCGUAAAGCGAGUGCAGGCGGUUCAAUAAGUCUGAUGUGAAAGCCUUCGGCUCAACCGGAGAAUUGCAUCAGAAACUGUUGAACUUGAGUGCAGAAGAGGAGAGUGGAACUCCAUGUGUAGCGGUGGAAUGCGUAGAUAUAUGGAAGAACACCAGUGGCGAAGGCGGCUCUCUGGUCUGCAACUGACGCUGANGCUCGAAAGCAUGGGUAGCGAACAGG
rnacentral:rRNA from 1 species